rnacentral:rRNA from 1 species
AGUGAACGCUGGCGGUAGGCCUAACACAUGCCAGUCGAACGGCAGCACAGUAAGAGCUUGCUCUUACGGGUGGCGAGUGGCGGACGGGUGAGGAAUACAUCGGAAUCUACUUUUUCGUGGGGGAUAACGUAGGGAAACUUACGCUAAUACCGCAUACGACCUACGGGUGAAAGAAGGGGAUCUUCGGACCUUGCGCGAUUGAAUGAGCCGAUGUCGGAUUAGCUAGUUGGCGGGGUAAAGGCCCACCAAGGCGACGAUCCGUAGCUGGUCUGAGAGGAUGAUCAGCCACACUGGAACUGAGACACGGUCCAGACUCCUACGGGAGGCAGCAGUGGGGAAUAUUGGACAAUGGGCGCAAGCCUGAUCCAGCCAUACCGCGUGGGUGAAGAAGGCCUUCGGGUUGUAAAGCCCUUUUGUUGGGAAAGAAAAGCAGCAGGUUAAUACCCCGCUGUUCUGACGGUACCCAAAGAAUAAGCACCGGCUAACUUCGUG